UGUUGCUGGCUCACAUGAGCAUUCUGAAUGUAGAAGUAGGGUACUGAACCCUUUGUGCAUUUCAGAGUGAUAUUUUGCAUCUAGCUACUGUCAUCAAUGUGCCUUGUGUGCGUCUCUGUUCUGUUAUUUCUGUUGCUGGCGUUCGGGGAAUUAAUGGUUAAAUAUAUUCCAUGUAUUUCCCUCACAAACUCCCAAGGGCGCAUCCGAAU
rnacentral:lncRNA from 1 species